CUGUGUUAACGUGGCGUAAUGUAAGUAAACAUCAUACUAAUAGCCCAGAAUUUGAACGCAACGCGUUUAAUUUCACGUUAAACGUUUUCCUCCCAUAGAAACUAUAUGUAACAGUUACAGCAAAGCAGAUGAGCCCAGAAUGAACAGAACCCGUCUUAUUACGCGUUAAGUCACUGUCCAUUAAGCGUUUUCUUUAUGGGAGGAAAAUGCGUAUGUGUUAAAUGUGUUGCGUUCAUAUUCUGGGCUCAUCUGCUUUUCUGUAGUAAACGCCAAACUAAUAAAGCAUUAGCAUUAGUAAAUUAAGCCACGUUAAGCUUUUUCACGUUAAGCAUGUUAUAAUGUCCCUCAUUUUCUGCCUUCCGGCUUAGAAACAAUGGUGAAAGUGAAACUCAAUGAAAAUAAUUUUGACCAAAAUGUGGCUUUGUCAUUUGUAUUUAUUACAGAUUCAUAACUUCUGAUCCGUUUGAAUAUGUACGUGCUCAUGCCAUGAAUAAUGUACGAAAACGCGUUUAGAAAUGUCAUUUGUGAUAUAGCUCAUUGCGAUCACUCUCCGUGUUCAUAAAGCAACACCUCUGAUUCAUUGUUAAGCUUCUCUCUGUAAGAAAUCAUGUAUUUAUUCCAUUUAGGUCCACUAAAACGUACUUGGUGUAGCGAUUCCACAAUAUAAUUAAUUUCAGAGCUGCAUAUACAGAUGGUCAGGCUGUUAUGUUAUCCCUUAAUGCUUUAACAUGAAGAAAUCAGGGCGAUAUGAUGAUAUGCUGGCUGAGAUCAAUCUAUAUUGUGUUUAUUAUUUUAUCUGGCAGAUAUAUCGGUGCCACUUAGUUAUUAAAAACUGAAAUAGAGAAAUCACUUUGGUCCUGUGUGUGGUCCGAUAGAAGGCGUAAGUAUGAUUUCUAUGUAUGUGUAUAUCGUGUCCUGGCCACACGACUGAGCGAUCGAAUGAACACAAGAGAUUCAAAUAUUAGCCCAUUUAUUCUCAGCAAGUACAAGCAGCUCUUUAAAAAAUUAACGUAAAUAAAGUCGUUUUUUCAUCUGGUGAUUUGUAUUUAUUGUCAUUGUACGCUCCUGAGCGUGACCUAAAACAUGGCGGCGACUACCCAGAAUGCAACGCGCAGUGACGUAGUUUGCCAAGCUCUAUUCUGGUGUAGACGUGCCAGAGGGGGUUAGUGCACGCCUCAAACACACCACUACAAGUCAAUUAACCAUCGUAAGGACUUAGAAAACUAUUUAUGAAGGUAAAAAAAGUUACUUAGUUCUGCUUUAACAUGUGAUAUGUGAAUGUGUUGAGGCCGAGUUGUACGGAUGGAGGCACCAGAACUGCAACUGACAGAAUGUGCUUCAAAGGCAGAUAGUGGAGACAAAUCACACGACAUUGGUGUUCGUCAUAAAACACCAAUCACGGGCCCCCUCUACCCGCGGGCCCUGGGGCUUCAGCCCCACCUAGCCCUUAUUUUAAUCCGGCCCUGGUCUUAUAGAUGUGGAACGACAUGAGGUCUCCUACGCCGUUAACCUUAUAAACUUGUAUCAUGGCCAGCUCUUGCAUCAGCAUCACACGCUUACAUCGUAGUGCUCACGUGUACAAUCCGGCCUCAGGAGGCGCAUGUAACCAAAAUGCUUUAGCCAUAGGGCAUGACAUGUACAAAGCUUCAUUGUUUACCUUGAGAAAACAUUGCACUUGCUUCCUUGUGACAAUAUGAAUACAUUUUGAAUGUGCAUAUUUAGACAGUCAGAUCCAUGAUCUAGUAGUCUUAGAUUGCUCGCUGUUCCCAAAGUUAGACUAAAACAAAGAGGAGAACGUGCUUUUGCUGUUGCGGGCCCUAAACUCUGGAACAGGUUACCAGUUAAUAUUAGAUCUGCUCCGACAUUACAAAUUUUUAAAUCUUUGCUUAAAACUCAUUUUUCCAUUCCUUUUAAUGCAUCUUGAUGGUUUAUUUUUGUAUUUUGACUUCUGUUGGUUUUGAUUUCCUUUUGAUAUUUUGUUGGUCAAAUUGUCUCAAUUUUAUAUGUGAAAUUGAAUUUGUGACAUUAUUAUUUAAUUGUUUUUGCUUGCAUUUAUUUUAUCUGAUGUUGUAAUGCACAUUGGUCAGCUGCUGCUGUUUUAAUGGUGCUAUAUAAAUAAACUAAACUUGAACUUGAAACACAUAGUUAUUUACACUGCACACUGAAUAUUUUAAUUAGGGCAUUCGUAAGUGUGCAAAUCACACUGAGCAAACAGCUCCAGUGACUAAUUUUAAUGCCUCUGAUUGGUCAUUACAU